UACGGGGGGGGCGAGCGUUGUUCGGAAUCACUGGGCGUAAAGCGCACGUAGGCGGAUUGUUAAGUCAGGGGUGAAAUCCUGGAGCUCAACUCCAGAACUGCCUUUGAUACUGGCGAUCUCGAGUCCGGGAGAGGUGAGUGGAACUGCGAGUGUAGAGGUGAAAUUCGUAGAUAUUCGCAAGAACACCAGUGGCGAAGGCGGCUCACUGGCCCGGUACUGACGCUGAGGUGCGAAAGCGUGGGGAGCAAACAGG
rnacentral:rRNA from 1 species